UACGUAGGGGGCAAGCGUUGUCCGGAAUUAUUGGGCGUAAAGAGCGCGUAGGCGGUCCGAUAAGUCGGCUGUGAAAGUCCAGGGCUCAACCCUGGAAAGCCGGCCGAUACUGUCGGACUAGAGUCCGGAAGAGGCAAGUGGAAUUCCCGGUGUAGCGGUGAAAUGCGCAGAUAUCGGGAGGAACACCAAUGGCGAAGGCAGCUUGCUGGGACGGUACUGACGCUGAGGCGCGAAAGCUAGGGGAGCAAACGGG
rnacentral:rRNA from 1 species